rnacentral:misc_RNA from 1 species
GAUGAAGAACGCAGCGAAAUGCGAAAAGUAAUGUGAAUUGCAGAAUUCAGUGAAUCAUCGAAUCUUUGAACGCACAUUGCGCCCGCCAGUAUUCUGGCGGGCAUGCCUGUCUGAGCGUCAUUUCAACCCUCACGCCCCUAGGGCGUGGUGUUGGGGAUCGGCCAAGGCCCGCAAGGGACGGCCGGCCCCUAAAUCUAGUGGCGGACCCAUCGUGGCCUCCCCUGCGAAGUAGUAAUAUAUUCCGCAUCGGAUAGCGAUGAGCCCCUGCCGUUAAACCCCCAACUCUUUCAAGGUUGACCUCAGAUCAGGUAGGAAUACCCGCUGAACUUAAGCAUAUCAAUAUGCGGAGGA